GAUGGAAGAGGGGAUGAGGAAAGAGAGAGGGUUUGUUCUCUGAAGAGAUUCUGAGCUGUACAGCUGGUGAGAGAACGAGAAAGAUAGCGACAGAGCGAGAGAGAGAGAGAGUGAGAGCGUGAGAGUGAGAGAGAGAGAGAGAGCAUGAGAGGGUUGACUGUUUUUCCGAGUUGCAGCGUGUCGCAUGGAUCGGGAUAUACAGGAGAGAGGAUACGACAUUCUGGGAUUCUGUGAUUCCAAACGGAAGGAUACAGUAAACUACGGAAGGAUACAGUAAACUAUGGAAGGAUACGGUAAACUACGGAAGGAUACGAUGAACAACAACAACAAGUCCCUCUUUCUAUCCGGCUCGUGAUUCGACCCACCAAGGGAACCAGGAAUCUUCGGGGGAAAAAAAAUGAGGAUUAUUAUAUAUAAUAUGAAGAAGGAAUAUUCCAGAAAAGUUUAUGAUACUGGGAAUAGUUUUGGAAUGUGGAACGUCAGGAAGGAUUCCCUAAAGAGGGAUAAAAGAGGAGAGAGAGAAAAAAGAGGGCUGCUAACAUUAUAGAGGGAUAGAGGGAGGAAACGACUGUAGGAAAGGAGGAGAGAGACAGAGGAGAGGGAGGAAACGACUGUAGGAAAGAAGGAGAGAGACAGAGGAGAGGGAGGAAACGACUGUAGGAAAGAAGGAGAGAGACAGAGGAGAGGGAGGAAACGACUGUAGGAAAGAAGGAGAGAGACAGAGGAGAGGGAGGAAACGACCGAAGGAGAGAAACAGAGGAAAGGUAGGAAACGACUUAAGGAAAGGAGGAAAGAGACAGAGGAGAGGGAAGAAAGAGAUUGACAUACUGCCCGAUCAUGAUCUGUCUCUCCUUCGUUCCAUGAUAUUACAUCCCCACAAGAAUUCUCAGAUUCCCUUAACAGGAUAUGGCGAACAGAAAAGAACUGCUCCUUAUUUAGUGAGUUUCUGAAUAAUGGGAUUGAGUGAAAAUAUUUUUUUCCCCUGGAACUAAACGAUAUAAUGGGAUCGUGGAGUGUGUGACUCAGACCCCAAAUCCCCCUCUUUGAUGUGUGUUGGAAGGGAGACACAUUUUGUUCAGAGUACACACAUACGCACACCAGGAGAAAACACCUGGGGCUGGAAUCUAUGCUGCACACACCUGUCUGGAAGAUAUAGCUGAUUUGGAGUUUGAAGUGACACUGACAGAAAAGAGUGGCCGGACUGCCCUGAUCUGCCAGGGUGCCCGGCCUGUCAGGAUCAGCCCGAGUGGUCCUCCUGCCCUCCGGUCCAGCCCGAGUGGUCCUCCU
rnacentral:lncRNA from 1 species